AACGGCGACGACCUGUUAAGUCAGGAACCUGCACAGGUGGUGCAUGGCUGUCGUCAGCUCGUGCCGUGAGGUGUUGGGUUAAGUCCCGCAACGAGCGCAACCCUCACUCUAUGUUGCCAUCGGGUAAUGCCGGGCACUCUUAGGGAACUGCCGGCGAAGAGCUGGAGGAAGGGGGGGAUGACGUCAAGUCCGUAUGCCCCUUAUGUCCAGGGCUACACACAUGCUACAAUGGCCGAUACAGAGGGUUCCCAACCCGCGAGGGGGAGGCAAUCCCACAAAGUCGGUCUCAGUUCGGAUUGCAGGCUGCAACUCGCCUGCAUGAAGUCGGAAUCGCUAGUAAGCGCAGAUCAGCAGGCUGCGCUGAAUACGUUCCCGGGCCUUGUACACACCGCCCGUCACACCACGAAAGCCGGUUGUACCAGAAGUCGCUGAGCCAACCGCAAGGAUGCAGGCGCCGAAGGUAUGGUCGGUGAUUGGGGUGAAGUCGUAACAAGGUAGCCGU
rnacentral:rRNA from 1 species